UACCAGCACCCCGAGUGGUCGGGACGUUUAUUGGGCCUAAAGCAUCCGUAGCCGGUUCUACAAGUCUUCCGUUAAAUCCACCUGCUUAACAGAUGGGCCGCGGAGGAUACUCCAGAGCUAGGAGGCAGGAGAGGCAAGCGGUACUCAGUGGGUAGGGGUAAAAUCCGUUGAUCCAUUGAAGGCCACCAGUGGCGAAGGCGGCUUGCCAGAAUGCGCUCGACGGUGAGGGAUGAAAGCUGGGGGAGCAAACCGG
rnacentral:rRNA from 1 species